rnacentral:rRNA from 1 species
UACGGGGGGGGCAAGCGUUGUUCGGAAUUGCUGGGCGUAAAGGGCGCGUAGGCGGUUCGCUAAGUUGAAUGUGAAAACUCUGGGCUUAACCCAGAGCCUGCAUCCAAAACUGGCGAACUGGAGUACUGGAGGGGAAAGCGGAAUUCCUGGUGUAGCGGUGAAAUGCGUAGAUAUCAGGAGGAACACCGGUGGCGAAGGCGGCUUUCUGGACAGUAACUGACGCUGAGGCGCGAAGGCCGGGGGAGCAAACAGG